AGGUGAGGCUGGAGAUCCCACCACAGUGAUUACUAUAGUAUGGACAUCUGGGGCCAAGGGAUCUCUGUCACCGUCUCCUCAGGGAGCCCGUCUGCCCCGACUCUCUUCCCCCUGGUCUCCUGCGUGAGCGCCCUGUCUGAUGAGAACCCGGUGGCCCUGGGCUGCCUGGCCCGGGACUUCCUGCCCAGCUCCAUCAGCUUCUCCUGGAGCUACCAGAACAGCAGCGGGGUCAGCAGCCAGAGCGUCCAGAGUUUCCCGGCCGUCCUGAGGGAGGGCAAGUACGCGGCCUCCUCCCAGGUGCUCCUGCCCGCCUCAAGCAUCCCCCAGGGGUCCGAAGAGCACCUGCUGUGCAGAGUCCAGCACCCCAGCGGCGUCCAGGUCCGUGGAGUGCCUAUCCCAGGAGUGCUGACACAUCCACUGCCUCCCAACGUGAGUGUCUUCAUCCCCCCCCGAGACGCCUUCUCCGGCACUCCCCAGCGCACGUCCAGGCUCAUCUGCCAGGCCACAGACUUCAGCCCCAAACAGAUCUCCUUGUCCUGGUUUCGUGAUGGAAAGCGGGUGGUGUCUGGCACCAGUGAAGGCCCGGUGGAGACUGUACAGUCCUCGCCCGUGACCUUCAGGACCUACAGCAUGCUGACCAUCACGGAGAGCGACUGGCUCAGCCAGAGCGUGUUCACCUGCGAGGUGGAGCACCACGGGAUGACCUUCCAGAAGAACGUGUCCUCUGUGUGUGGCACCCCCGAUGACGGCACCAUCAGGAUCUUCACCAUCCCCCCGUCCUUUGCUGGCAUCUUCCUCACCAAGUCAGCCAAGCUUUCCUGCCUGGUCACAGACCUGACCACCUAUGACAGCCUGAGCAUCUCCUGGUCCCGCAACGGCGAGGCCCUGCAGACCCUCACCAACAUCUCUGAGAGCCACCCCAAUGGCACGUUCAGUGCCGUGGGUGAGACCUCUGUGUGCGUGGAGGACUGGGAGUCUGGAGACGGGUUCACGUGCACGGUGACCCACACAGAUCUGCCCUCGCCGCUGAAGCGCAGCAUCUCCAGGCCCAAAGAGGUCGCCAAGCACAUGCCGUCCGUGUACGUGCUGCCACCAGCGCGGGAACAGCUGAGCCUGCGGGAGUCCGCCUCCGUCACCUGCCUGGUGAAGGGCUUCUCGCCCGCGGACGUGUUCGUGCAGUGGCUGCAGAAGGGGCAGCCCAUGUCCUCCGACAAGUACGUGACCAGUGCCCCGGCGCCCGAGCCCCAGGCCCCCGGCUUGUACUUCGUGCACAGCAUCCUGACGGUGAGCGAGGAGGACUGGAACAGCGGGGAGACCUACACCUGCGUCGUGGGCCACGAGGCCCUGCCCCACAUGGUGACCGAGAGGACCGUGGACAAGUCCACCGGUAAACCCACCCUGUACAACGUGUCGCUGGUCAUGUCUGACACGGCCAGCACCUGCUACUGACCACCCGGCUGCCCGCUCAGGCCGGGGCCAGAGCCCCUGGGCGACCGUCGCUGUGUGUGUGCAUGCGUGCGUGCAAACUAACCAUGUCAGUGGGUGAGAUGUUGCAUUUUAUAAAAAUUAGAAAUAAAAAGAUCCGUUCAAAAGAU